rnacentral:misc_RNA from 1 species
GGAAGUAAAGUCGUAACAAGGUUUCCGUAGGUGAACCUGCGGAAGGAUCAUUAACGAGUUAGGGUCUUCUAGGCCCGACCUCCCAACCCUUUGUUUACUGAACCAUUGUUGCCUCGGUGGGUCCGUCUUACGACCGCCGGGGGAUCGCCGCGAGGCGCCCCCUGGCCAGCGCCCACCGAUAGCCCAACCUUUAAAACCCUUUGUGAAUCGUGUCUUAUGUCUAAAUUUAUGAUUAAACAAUCAAAACAAAACUUUCAACAACGGAUCUCUUGGUUCUG